UGAGCAUGCUCGAGGCAGAGGAUCUGAAGAGCCUCCAGGGCAUGGCAGGCUGGAGUCGCAGCACAGAUGGGGCAGGGAGAGCCUGAAAUCAGCUGGGAGCAGCCGGGGAGAGCCGUAGGGAUGUGACGAGGGGCUCCCCAGGGACAGAGAGGACAGAGGGAUCCCAAGUGCGAGCCCAGCAUUAGCUGCAGCCAGGGCCAGGAGCAGGACUCCCUGGAAGGUGCUGUUGACCAGGCAGAGUUGGGUCUUAGGAGAUGCAGCCUGGAGUCCUUGCAACAUCAGUCAUAUGCUGCAGAAAUUCCCCAAGCUGGACUGAAAGUCAUAUUGCAGCCACUUGACAAGGGAGUGUUUUUGCUGCUGCUGGGCCAGCUCUGUGGAGGUUCCUGUGCAGCAUCUCUCCGCGCACUGUCCAAGAGCCUUCUGCAUGCACUGUCAUGUAUUCAAGAGCAACAGCUUCCUGGCCUGGAUGGGAAUCGGACAUCAAGAUGAAACACGUCAUCCUGCACCAUCAAACCUCCAAGUCAGUCAAACCCACAAAACCCCAUUUCUUUUUAUGCACUGGUGUUCCUGCCAGUAUGCUUGAACAUGUACCUGCCUAUAAUAAGGGUUCAUUUUACACACACAAGCAACUUGCAGAGCACGUGUACAUCUAACCUUGUACUUAACAGGCUGAAGAAAAGUCUGAGAAUGACCUAUCCAGGGCUUCCUCCUGCCCCCAGGAAGAAAGGAUCCUCCAGCUUGUGCAGGAGCAGACUGCAUGAACCUGGCAAGAGGAGCAGGCUCCAGAAAUGGGACUAAGCCUAUAUACCUCACAGUGUUUGAACAGCACUGAACAGUCAUCCCUGACCAUUCGCUUGCCAGGGACAAAAAACAAAAGCAAUUUUACUGCACCAAGGUGAUGUGCGGGUAGCCUUCAGACUGCAGUGCCAGGAACUCUGGCUGCGGAGGCCACAAGCGCUUGCAGAGUGGCGUGAAGAAGGCAGAGACAAAGGGGAGGCCCCUCUGGGUGAGCAGGUGCCUCUGUAGGAGCUUACCAGGCCACGGACGAAGUGUCCCAGCACUCACUGCAAGAAGCUGCCCCAUUUCUCUCUUGCACAGAGCUCAAGGACCCAGGCAGCAAUCAGGAAAAGCAGCAGAAGACAAGGCAGUAGAUCGAGGGCAGACGCUAAGCCCACAAGGACCAGCCAGACUGCACCACCACCGCCGCCGCCAAUACUCGCACACCUUCUGAACAGGCCAAAUACCAUAACCCACCAUCACCUCGCACCCUCUUUAAGCUGCCUCGCAGGUGGGUGAAGAAUUGGGACAUUUCAUGGCACUUGUGCAAAGGGAAUGUAUCCUCCCCCUCCACUGCCACAAAGGCUGCCUGGGACAGGAUGGGAGUUCUCCCCAGACACGUUCAUGAGGCAGCUCACAACUGAAUUGCACCUUGACUCCCGGGCUGAGCUCCCUCUGAAGGAAACAGCAACCUCAGCUGCUCGCGGGCAAAAUAGGACCCUUAAGAAGGCAAGGUCACAGAGCACUCCAGUGGCCUGCUGGAGAGCAGGCUCUUCUUUGUGCUCCUGAAAAUCCUGCUGCCAUUAACAGGAGAAACAUCAAUAAGCACUUAAAAAUGCAACAGUCACUGCGAGAAGAGCUGGCAUGACUUCCCGCUCCUAAUUCACUGCAUGGGCAAUGGGUCGUGUUUCGCCCACUGAGUGGCUCACCUCUGACAUCCUAGUCCUGGUCCUCACCAUUGACAUUGUUGGCUGAGGGAAGGGUUCUCCAAGCAAGUGUAAGAUGUUCAAACAUGCUUUAUAUAUUCUCCUUCCAUAAAUCAAAUAAGAGGGUAUAAAAAUAAAAUAAAUAGUGGCUAAGAUGAACGGCAGUUCCGGAACUCAUUUUCUGCGAGGCAGCCCUCUUCAUACUGCUGUGCACAUCUGUCUGCUAAAAAUUUGAUAAGAACAUGAAAAGAAAGCAGCUUAAGAAAGGGAAAGAUGAACAGAAAAGAGAACACAAGAGAAACUGUCUCGAGGUACAACCUGAUGAACUCGGAGUAUUGCUACGUCACAAAGUAGCUUCUCCCAUGUAAAGCAGAUCAGACGAUGGUACAAAGAAGGUUGGGGCUCUGAAUCAAGAGCUUCUCCUUCGAGCUGCUCUUCAGUUCAGCUACAAGAGACUGCAGAAACACCAUCAGGAAUUAUUUUCCUUUUCUGAGAAGAUGAGCCACAAAAGCCAAGUUGGGUUUCCUUCAAACUCAGCAGGUAUUGCUAGAUUCCUCCGCUGAGACUGAGCUGUUCCAAUGCCAUCAGUUCUCUACCUGGCUUUCGGAAAGGCUUUGUUAUUUUUGCAGCAGUUGAGGCAAAGCAGAAUUACCAAACCCACCUCAGAUCACUACAGCCAAAGGUUUCUUCACUUGGGUAGGUGCCCAGUCGGGACCUGCGCGUGGUGAGGACGGUGGCAAGGCGGCCGGGUCUGUCCCUGUGGCCAUCGCUACCUUUGCCACCGUGGUGACUUCUCUGUUGAACCGGCUGCAAGA